rnacentral:misc_RNA from 1 species
GAACGCACCUUGCGCUCCUUGGUAUUCCGAGGAGCAUGCCUGUUUGAGUGUCGUGAUAUUCUCAACCUCAUGUAUGUUUGCGCAUACAUGAUGGCUUGGAUGUGGGGGACAUUGUCGGCGCAAGUCGACUCCCCUUGAAUGCAUUAGCUGGAUCUUUCCCUCUCGCGGGGGAGCGGUUCAUGGUGUGAUAAUUAUCUACGCCAUGGUAAGGCCGUUGGAUUGAGCUUCUAAUUGUCUUCGGACACUACUUUACAAUCUGACCUCAAAUCAGGUAGGAUUACCCGCUGAACUUAAG